GCAAACUUGGUCAUUUAGAGGAAGUAAAAGUCGUAACAAGGUUUCCGUAGGUGAACCUGCGGAAGGAUCAUUAUUGAAUAAACUUGGUUGGGUUGUUGCUGGCUCUUAGGAGCAUGUGCACGCUCACUCCAUUUUUAACCACCUGUGCACCUUGUGUAGAUCUGGACAUCUCUCGAGGAAACUCGGUUAGAGGAUUGCUGUGUGUAAAAAGCCGGCUUUCCUUGCGUCCAGAUCUAUGUCUUUAUAUACUCCAUAUGAAUGUAUCAGAAUGUAAUUGAUGGGCUAUAUAGCCUCUAAAAUCAAAUACAACUUUCAACAACGGAUCUCUUGGCUCUCGCAUCGAUGAAGAACGCAGC
rnacentral:misc_RNA from 1 species